GACGAACGCUGGCGGCGUGCUUAACACAUGCAAGUCGAACGGAAAGGCCCUGCUGUUUUGGGGUGCUCGAGUGGCGAACGGGUGAGUAACACGUGAGUAACCUGCUCUUCACUUGUGGAUAACUUCAGGAAACUGGGUCUAAUACCGGAUCGUGGCCCCUGCUGCGGGGUGGGGGUUGGAUACGUUCGGCGGUUGGUGAUGUGCGCGCGGCUUAUCUGCUUGUGGGUGGGGGAGUGGUUUACCAAGGCUUUGACGGGUAGCCGUCCUGAGAGGGUGGACAGGCACAUGGGGACUAAGGUAGGGACCAGAAGGGAACGGGAGACAGUGGUGGGGAGUAUUGCCCAAUGAGGGGACGUGUGAGAAGACAACGCUGCGGGCGGAAAGACGGCCUGCGGGUUAAAAACAGCUUUCGCCUGUGACGACGCGUGAGUGACGGUAAUGGGAAAAGAAGCACCGGCUAACUACGUG
rnacentral:rRNA from 1 species